CGGAAAGUGGGUGAAGAAAUAGAAGUUCAUGGGCGGACAUCUCAAUGAAGAUAGUACACUAAUAUAACUCACCUCUCUACUAAGCUCACACAUUUUCCAUUUGCUAUAAAUUCCUCCUUCCCAUUUCUCUCUCUCAUAUCUCUCCGAUUUCUUCUUUGUUUGCCUCGGUUUCUCCGAUCAGAGCUCAUGGAGUCCGCCGCCGUUCUCCGCUCCUUCCACCAUUCAGUUGGUACCACUUCCCAUGUGAGGUCAGUAAUUGAAAUGCCUGGCGUUAUUCCAACAAAUAAUAUUGCCUUCUCCAAGCCUACUAAGUUUUCCCUGAAGGGCUCCUCAAAUGGUGCAAGGCGCAUUUCUUCUCCUAACAAGCAUGGUAGAUUGAUACUGUCAUGUGCAAAGACAUCUGAAACAACUGUGACAGCGAAAUCUGGUGAUGGCAAUCACAAAGUUCCAACAGAGAGUAGUCCACUGCCAACAGCAACAUUUCCUAAGGGUUUUGAGGCUCUGAUCACGGAGGUGUGUGAUGAUACAGAGGUAGCUGAGCUGAAACUUAAGGUUGGAGAUUUCGAACUGCACUUGAAACGGAACAUUGAAGCUCCAGUAGUGCCUGCGCCUGUUGUUUCCGCACCACCACC
rnacentral:misc_RNA from 1 species